UUAGUCUCAGUUCGGAGUUGCAGGCUGCAACUCGCCUGCAUGAAGUCGGAAUUGCUAGUAAUCGCGGAUCAGAAUGCCGCGGUGAAUGCGUUCCCGGGGUCUUGUACACACCGCCCGUCACACCACGGAAGUUGGGGGUGCCCAAAGUUGGCAGGAUAAUAUGUUACCUAAGGCAAAACCGAUGACUGGGGUGAAGUCGUAACAAGGUAGC
rnacentral:rRNA from 1 species